CAGCACGUCGAUUCUAAGUUUGUGUACGUGAGAGCUCGCACCUCCAAGGCCACGGUUCUCCCCUGGAAAAUAGUGGAUUGCUUUGUCGAGGUUGUGGGUGAGUUUCUUCUCCAAGUAUCCCAACAUGACUGUGGGGAACAUGGGCUGGUUGAUGCGGCAUCAGCAGUAAGGCGGGUGUAUCGUACCAGACUGGUGUGGUAAAGAAGGUGCUGAUCCAUGAAGACAAAGCUUCGACAUUCUGACUCUCACCUGUGGGUCACCAGCUCUGCAUAGUGACUGAAAGAAUUAGAAUAAUUGUUUUUCCCUGCUGGGUGGCCAGGCUCAGCCUCAGAGAUAGGCUGUGGAGUUCGGACAUUCAGAGCGAGCAUGGAGUAGAACCACUGAUCAGAACGAAUCGUCAAAAGGGGACAGUUGAGGUGGUUUGUCCAUUUAAUGUGGAUGUUUACUGGACAUAUCCAACCAGGAGAAGACCCUGGGGUAAACCCAGAGGUCACUACAGAGACUGCAAAUCUGACCUUGGAACGCCACAUGGGAUCCUCCAGGAAGAAGAAUGUCUGGAAUACUACAUUUUGUAUCUAGCAAUCUAUCUGUCACCCGAUCUUGGACUAGUGGAUGACAAUGGAUGGAUGGAUCCCCACAUACUGUAUUAAGAUGUUCAUCAGCCUUAAAAGCUGCUUUCAGACAUGUCCUUCAGUCCUUCACUCCGGUUAAUCUCCUGAAAUCAUCCGGUAUGUGUCAAGUCAAAGGCUCCAGACUUCUCCAGAGUUUCUCCUGCCACCCCCCGUGUACAAACCCUGGAAUAUAUUGUCGACCGUGGUGGUGGAACAUGAUGGUGGUGGUGGAACGUGAUGGUGGUGGUGGAUCAUGAUGAUGGUGGUGGUGGAACUUGAUGGUUGAUCGUGAUGGUGGUGGCGGCUGAUCAUGGACUAUGAUUACAAGACUUCUUGAUAUACAAUAUGUCUACUAGUAGUUUUAUGUUGUUGAAGUUUAAGGACAAAUUGUGCUUUGUGAAUAUGGGCUAUACAAAUUAAAUUUGUUUGAUUAAUUGUUUGAUUGAUCUCAGGAUGAAAAAGAGUAAACAAAGACUGGAAAGACAACAAGGUUCAAGAUUUUUUACAAGACGACUCUUGAAACAAAAACACAUGGUGUCCACUGCACCACCCUUUACUGCACACUACAGAGAUACCUGGGUGAACACGUCUGAACAGAGAACAUCCUGCUGCUUUGUUUUAAUGUGCGGACAUUCUCCGGAGUUCAUGUCUAAGAACUGCUAUAAAA